GCUAGGCACAGUGACCCAUGCCUGUCAUCCCAGUGCCUUGGGAGGCUGAGGCAGGAGGAUCGCGAGUUCAAAGCCAGCCUCGGCAAAAGGGAGGUGCUAAGCAACUCAGUGAGACCCCGUCUCUA
rnacentral:sRNA from 1 species